rnacentral:lncRNA from 1 species
UUCAUUUCUUUUCAUUUCUCCUCUUCCUCUUGUCCCAUAUCUGAAAAAAAAAAAUCGCCACCACCAGCCCCUCUUCAAGUCAGCAGACCGACGGUCGACGUCCCUUUUCAACUCUCCUCUGCUCGACGGUUGACGCUCGAGCUUAACGUCUCACACACGUGCACCAGUCACCAUCAUCGUUGGCAGAUUCAUUCAUCUCAUUGCACGGUAGGAUAGUUUAACUUUAUUUUCUUUUUUUAUGUAUUAUUUCUUUUAUUUCUCUAAAUACUUUCUCUGCUGCAAAUUUUUAUGGUUGUCGACAAAGAGAGAGAAUGUUUUUGUCGGUUUUAGCUUAGUUGCGUCUUAGCUCAUUGACUUUUAUGCUUAGUGCUCUCUUUUUUUCUACCAUCGUUUCCACUUUGUUUCCCUUAACUUCAACGUGAAUUACUUAUUCUAGUGAACCCCAUAGCUCGAAUCUGCAAGUACAAGUGGGAAAAGAAACUAUGUUAAUUAAAAAAAAUAAACCGUACCGAAUCGACUGAUUCGAUUAUUUCGGUUUUGCACAUAACUUCAGUUUGGUUAAUUUGGUUACAACAAAAAUUUUGAUUUAUUCAAUUAUUGCCAUGAAAUAACCAAAUAGACUGAAUGCACACUUGUUAUGGUAUUUUCUGUUUUCAACCCAAAACUUGAAUAUAACCUCGAACCAUCAACCCACAACCUGAGUAGAUGCAAAAGAACUUGAGCCCCACAAGGUAGAGACAUUAGGGGCUCGUGGGGAGAGCGCUCACAUGUUCCUAGGUGUUCGCAAGCAGAGGAUGCGAAAUCAAGUGGGUAGUUCGAGGAACAAGUGUUAAGUCUAGAAUAGUAUACAUGUUGGCAUGCAUGGAGCCUACCUAGGACGUCAUUUCAAUGAAUAGAAAUUGUGUCUUAUAAAUACUCGAUUCCCCUCAUCGAGAGGACACAUCAGAACACUCAAUAAUUUGGUGUAGUGAGCGUGGACAGACUUCUGAUCGAUAGAUUUUCUUUUAAUUUGUAAAAAUCAGAAUGGCUCGCCUAGAUGAAAAUUUCCCCAUCAACUUUUCAUCAAGACAAGCUGGAGCUUCAGGUACAGGUGGCCAACCCACUAAGGCUAAUUUGUUUGCCAGCUAGUUUGUUGAACAACCGAAAAAUUUGGGUAACGUGGCCCACGUAGGGGCCUCAAACUCUUUUGACCUAAAAUUUCCUUCUAGCUAAGAGUUGUCGUUCUUUUCUAAUCAAGAAGCAUUGUUGUAGUAGUUUUUUGCUCUUCAAGAGCAAAUGAAAUUGAUGAAGGAACAAAUGGCCAUACAGAACGUGAGGUUUGAGCAACAAAAAACAUUUCAUCAGGAGCUCUUAAAAUUAUGAAGAGCUCAGAAGAAAGGUUCAAUCCGACAACUCCGAUUUUCAUGAUAAUGCAGCCAUGCGGGAAGAAGGUACUAAUGUGCAUACAAAAUAGUGGCAAAGUGAGAUGGAUGCUUUACGGUGAGACAUAAGGGCUUUGCAUCUUGAGUUUAUAUUAAUUAAAGCUUUUGAAUGUUUAUGGUAGAGUUUGAAGCUUUGAUGGAAAAUAGGAUUAUUUUAUAAUGUAAUUUUUGUUAGUUUUGAACAUAAGGACUAAAUUGUUAAUAUUUUGAAAUUGACAUGUAAUUUUUUAUAAUAUGAGGCUGUAAUUGGAUAUAUUUGAAGUUGGUUUAAAAUUUGGAGUCCAAAUUUGGAAUUUAUGAUAAGUUUGAUUUUAAGGACUAAAUUGAAUAAAAUGUAAAACUUGAGGAAAUAAUUGAAAGAUUAAAUUAAGCUUAUAUAUAUUUGUAAUAGGUUGUUAUAUAAUAUUUGAUUGAUUAAAUGGAAAUAAAUUUAUAUUAUAUAUCAAGAUUUGAACAAGACGAUUGAUAAUUGAGAAAGAAGGAAAUUAUAGACUAGUCCCUGACACUUUUGCUUUUGUUGUUAGCCUCUGGUAAGUUCAUACAUUAUAAAUAUAUUUAAAUUGUUGUUAAGUUUUAUUUGUAUGUUUAUUAAUGUUUUUUUGAUAUCUUGAAUUGGCUAUGAAUUAGUACAUAAAUUGAGAACUGAAUUAGAUUGAAAUGAAUUGUUAUAAAAUGGUAUAAUGUGAGAUUAAACCCUGAUGAAAUGAGUAAAAGUCUCGUAUACAAGGUUACAUGUUAUUGCCUGCAGGUUCUGAGCUCUAGCAUGUGUUGCAGACUCAAGAAUACAAGUUUAUUAAGCCUUGGCCAAGCUACAUGUUGUGUAGGUUCAACCCUGACGGGUGACCAGGCAUUAUUAUUCGAUUCAUAUAUGUUCAACUCUAACAGGUGACCAAGCACUAUUAUUCGAUUCAUGUGGGUUCAACCCUAACGGGUGACUAGGCACUAUUAUUUGAUUCUGUAGGUUCAACCUUAACAGUUGACCAGACACUAUUAUCUGAUUCGUGUAAGUUUAAUCCAAACGGGUAACCAGGCACUAUUAUUCGAUUCGUGUAGGUUUAACCCAAACGAGUAACCAAACACUAUUACUUUCAUUUGUGUUGAAGUUCUUUUACGAAUUUUCAUUGGGUAACAUUGUGAGUGAAAAUGUGAUGAUAUGUUGUUAGAUGUUGACAAAGUAAUGUAUAUGAUUUGGGUAUAAGGUAUGAGUUUGAUUAUGAUAGAAAUAUGAAAAAUUGAGGUUAUAUUUAUGGUUUGAGCUCAAAGCCUA